AGUGAACGCUGGCGGUAGGCCUAACACAUGCAAGUCGAACGGCAGCACAGGAGAGCUUGCUCUCUGGGUGGCGAGUGGCGGACGGGUGAGGAAUACAUCGGAAUCUACCUUUCGUGGGGGAUAACGUAGGGAAACUUACGCUAAUACCGCAUAAGACCUUCGGGUGAAAGCAGGGGACCUUCGGGCCUUGCGCGGAUAGAUGAGCCGAUGUCGGAUUAGCUUGUUGGCGGGGUAAAAGCCCACCAAGGCGACGAUCCGUAGCUGGUCUGAGAGGAUGAUCAGCCACACUGGAACUGAGACACGGUCCAGACUCCUACGGGAGGCAGCAGUGGGGAAUAUUGGACAAUGGGCGCAAGCCUGAUCCAGCCAUACCGCGUGGGUGAAGAAGGCCUUCGGGUUGUAAAGCCCUUUUGUUGGGAAAGAAAACUUGCGGGCUAAUACCCAGCAAGUCUGACGGUACCCAAAGAAUAAGCACCGGCUAACUUCGUG
rnacentral:rRNA from 1 species